GAAGGGAUAAGCGCUGAAAGCAUCUAAGCAUGAAGCCCCCCUCAAGAUGAGAUUUCCCAACUUCGGUUAUAAGAUCCCUCAAAGAUGAUGAGGUUAAUAGGUUCGAGGUGGAAGCAUGGUGACAUGUGGAGCUGACGAAUACUAAUCGAUCGAAGACUUAAUCAAAUU
rnacentral:rRNA from 1 species